rnacentral:lncRNA from 1 species
CUAGUUUAUUUAAUAUAUAUAUGUAUAUUAUAAAAGAUACACAUAACUAUAUAAAAUAAAAGGAACUGUAUUCAAUAUACAUUAUUUUGUUUGCAUUGCAAAAUAAUUAAGACAAAUAAUUAUUUAUAACUAAAGUAUUUAUCUUGAGAGGUUCUGCUUGGCCUGUCAAAUAAUUAAAAGGUCAGAGAAAUAUAAUUUAAAGUGCAAGAGAAAUCACAAGAGUUGUAUAAUUCACUAUGACAUGCAAACAAAAUCAUAAGCUUUUAAGUAAUAUAAUUAUUUUUUGACUUAACUGUUAAACCCAUGCAGAUACAUUUUUUAUCCACACAUAGCUGCGUUUCAGUUGGCAUACAAGGAAGAUGUAAACAAUCGAGGAAAGUAAUACACUCACCAGCUGUGAUGUAAAAAAAAUAAAAUGUUAUUAAAAAGGGUCGAAUGAUUAUGUAUAAGGUCAAAAUUAAAAGAAACUUUGAAAAUGAAAAGAAGAGAAAGUUUACCAGUGUCAGUUAUAAAAAGAAAUAGGAAAAUCAAGAAGGUCAUAGCAUACACAAACUUGAUAAUUUUAAUCAUUUUUUUCCUUUUUUUGCAUGUAACGUACAA